rnacentral:lncRNA from 1 species
AUGUGAUUACUAUUUUUAUCUUACAACUCAAGAUUGUUGAUUUCCGAAUCCCGUUUCAUGUAACAUUUUACGAGCAAGGUUCUUGUGCGUUGUGAUGGAGUAAAUGUUGUUGUGAUCUUCAAAACGAGAUGGAAGAUUAGUUUAAUCUCCAUUCUGUCUUCUUAUACAACUGAAAGAUUUAGAGUUGUUUUCGGCCAGAGGAAGACGUUUUCUUUUUUCCUUACCUUCUCCGGCCGCUAUAAAGAUGUGCAUACAAUUAUUCUAUUUUAGUCCUUUCGACCAUGUUUCUAUGGUUUUCUAUUCUGUUGUCUUGUAAAUAUAUAUCCCUCUCAAGCAAUGGGCAUAAAUAUAUUAAUUGUAACAAGGUCGGAGACUGAUGCGGAUGCAUGCAUGGGUGAUGAUGGAUGACACCUAGAAGGGCAAGCAGAGUGUAGGGAAGGAGCGUAUAGAGCUUCGACAAUGCUACACAAUCGUCCUCCGCCUCACCGCGCACAACAAUUUCACGAGAUGGUGAGAGCAUCUCGGCAAAUUGUGUUCUUCUUAAUUUUAUACCUUUUUGAUCUAGAUGACAUUACUGGAUGUCAACUUGGCGGUGAGAUUUCUCAAAUGCUCCAAGUUCUGUCUUAACUUCAAAAUAAACAACGUUGCAUAAUUUAGUAAUGGGA